CCUACGGGUGGCAGCAGUGGGGAAUAUUGGGCAAUGGGCGCAAGCCUGACCCAGCAACGCCGCGUGAAGGAAGAAGGCUUUCGGGUUGUAAAAUUCUUUUGACAGGGGAGAGAAGAAGACGGUACCUGUCGAAUAAGCCACGGCGAACUACGUGCGAGCAGCGGCGGUAAUACGUAGGUGGCAAGCGUUGUCCGGAUUUACGGGGUGUAAAGGGCGUGUAGCCGGGCUGACAAGUCUGAUGUGAAAUCCGGGGGCUCAACCCCCGAACUGCAUUUGAAACUGUUUGUCUUGAGUGUCGGAGAGGCAGGCGGAAUUCCUAGUGUAGCGGUGAAAUGCGUAGAUAUUAGGAGGAACUCCAGUGGCGAAGGCGGCCUGCUGGACGACAACUGACGGUGAGGCGCGAAGGCGUGGGUAGCGAACAGGAUUAGAUACCCUUGUAGUC
rnacentral:rRNA from 1 species